rnacentral:tRNA from 1 species
UAGCUCAGUCAGUUAGAGCGUGGUGCUGAUGACACCAAGGUCGCGGGUUCGAUCCCGGC